UCUUGCUUCAGCAUCAAAUCUAUAGCCA
rnacentral:piRNA from 1 species